rnacentral:rRNA from 1 species
AUGAAGGAGGUGGGCGAGGAGAGGUGCCUGGACCCGCAGCUGUGGCACGCCUGCGCGGGCGGCAUGGUGCAGAUGCCGCUGCCGCGCUCGCGCGUCUACUACUUCCCGCAGGGGCACGCCGAGCACGCCAACAGCGGCGGCGGCAGCGCGGCCGCCGAGCUCGCGGCGGCGGUCGGGCCGCGUCCGCUGCCCGCGCUCGUGCUCUGCUGCGUGGCAGGGGUGCGCUUCCUGGCUGAUCCGGAGACGGACGAGGUGUUCGCCAAGAUCCGGCUGGUGCCCGUCGGCCCCGGCGAGGCGGGGUUCCGGGAGCCGGAGGGGCUCGGGGGCGACCCGGCGGAGGCGCGCGAGAAGCUGGCCUCCUUCGCCAAGACGCUGACGCAGUCCGACGCCAACAACGGCGGCGGCUUCUCGGUGCCGCGCUACUGCGCGGAGACCAUCUUCCCCAAGCUUGACUACAGGGCUGACCCGCCGGUGCAGACGGUGCUCGCCAAGGACGUGCACGGGGAGGUGUGGAAGUUCCGCCACAUCUACCGGGGCACGCCGCGCCGGCAUUUGCUCACCACGGGCUGGAGCACCUUCGUGAACCAGAAGAAGCUCGUCGCGGGGGACUCCAUCGUCUUCCUGCGCACCGAGCACGGGGAGCUCUGCGUCGGGAUACGCCGGGCCAAGCGGGUCACCUGCGGGGGCAUGGAGUGCAUAUCCGGCUGGAACGCGCCAGGGUACGGGGGGUUCUCGGCCUUCCUCAAGGACGAGGAGAACAAGAUGAUGAAUGGUGGCCCCGCCGGUUACGUCAAGGGCAGGGGGAAGGUCAAGAUCGCCGAUGUCGUGGAGGCGGCCACCCUCGCGGCCAACAGCCAGCCAUUUGAGGUGGUCUACUACCCGAGAGCUAGCACGCCGGAGUUUGUUGUCAAGGCCGCGGCGAUGCAGGCCGCCAUGAGGAUCCACUGGUGCCCUGGCAUGAGGUUCAAGAUGGCCUUUGAGACCGAGGAUUCCUCAAGAAUCAGCUGGUUUAUGGGGACCAUAUCUUCGGUUCAGGUUGCCGAUCCACUCAGAUGGCCGAAUUCACCAUGGAGACUUCUUCAGGUCACAUGGGAUGAGCCAGACUUGUUACAAAAUGUGAAAUGCGUGAGCCCAUGGCUUGUGGAACUUGUAUCAAGCAUUCCACCAAUCCAUUUGGGACCAUUUUCUCCACCACGAAAGAAGUUACGGGUUCCCCAACAUCCUGAUUUUCCAUUGGAUGGUCAUCUGUUUAAUCCAAUUUUCCAUGGGAACCCACUUGGUCCUAGCAACAGCCCCCUAUGCUGUUACUCGGACAACAACUCUCCUGCAGGCAUACAGGGAGCCAGGCAUGCUCAAUUUGGUUUACCAUUAACAGACCAUCAGCUUAAUAAGCUGCACCUUGGUCUGUUCCACGGCGGCGGUUUUAACCGGCUUGACGCUCUAACCCCGUCUUCCCGGAUAUCUAAGGGCUUUGUGCUCAGCAGCGCACCAGCCCAUGACAGCGUCUCUUGCUUGUUGACAAUCGGUACACCACAGAGCACAGAAAAAUCUGUUGACAGAAAGACACCACAUAUAAUGUUGUUUGGAAAGGCCAUUCUUACCGAGCAGCAGAUGACUUCAAGUGGAUCAAGAGAGACACUCUCCUCUGGGGCUACUGGAAAUAGUUCACCUAUCAGUACUGCGCUCAAGGCAGGAAAUGCAUCCGAUGGUUCCGGUUCAUCAAUCUGCAUCGGAUUCUCAUCCCAGGGUCAUGAGGCUUCUGAUCUUGGACUGGAAGCUGGGCACUGCAAGGUAUUUAUGGAAUCGGAGGAUGUUGGUCGCACCAUCGACUUGUCUGUCUUCGGGUCAUAUGACGAGUUGUAUGGCCGUCUGGCUGACAUGUUUGGCAUCGAGAAAGAAGAAAUCAUAAGCCAUCUCCGUUACCGUGACACGGCUGGUGCUGUCAUGCACACUGGUGGAUUACCGUUCAGCGACUUCAUGAAAGUGGCACGGAGGCUGACGAUAAUAAGUGGCGAAAAGGGAGGACUGGCGAAACCUCUCAUCGAAUGCAUGGUUCAGCGGGUGUGA